GACGUAGGGGGCGAGCGUUGUCCGGAUUUACUGGGCGUAAAGCGUGCGCAGGCGGUUUGCUAAGACAGGUGUGAAAUCCCCGGGCUUAACCUGGGAACUGCGCUUGUUACUGGCAAGCUGGAGUGUGGCAGAGGGGGGUGGAAUUCCGACGUGUAGCAGUGAAAUGCGUAGAUAUCGGGAGGAACACCAGUGGCGAAGGCGACUACCUGGCCUGUUCUUGACGCUGAGGCGCGAAAGCUAGGGGAGCAAACGGGG
rnacentral:rRNA from 1 species